CCUAAGGUCAGCCCUGGUGGUGGGGCUCUGGGCAGGUGGGCGCUGGGUGAGGGUGGUGGUGUGCAGGGUGCUGUGCAUUUGUGGGGCAGGUGGGGGAGGUGCUGGGCAUAGCAGGUUUGGGGGGGGUCUGGCCAUAGGGAAUUGGGGGUUCCGGUGUUGGCCAGGGGGGCUGUGUGGCGCAGCAUGGGCCCACCUCCAAGGGAAAGGGGAAUCUGGCAGCACAGGGCCAGGUGGGCCACUAUGCAUCUGGCAACUGCCGGUUUGUAAACAGUGCCCCUGUUAUGCCAGGCCCCAUUGCCUCUGGCUGGACCCUCGCUCUGGGGACCGACCCCCCGCGCCAGGCUCCAUUGCCUCCAUGGGGGCCCACAAAUAUGUUUGGUGCUGGGCCCACAAAACAUUCAUCCGGCCCUGCACAUGAGGGCAAUAGGAAGUGUAGGCAAGAUAUGGGCCUCAUGUCUUCUAUUCCACUUCCACUUUCUUGAUGGGUCAUAAUCCUUGUGUGUUUUUUCCCCACAGGGGAGGAAUCCUCCCAGCCUUCUGAAGGCCUCCCUUCCUCUUCCAUCUCCAAGGCAUCACCUAAUCUCAACAACCCAUGCAGCUGGUGCAACAUCCCUACUUCCUCCAGCCAGUGAAGGGUGUCUGGUCCCUGAUUGUCACAGGGUCUAGGAAGCUCUGGCCCCUACUAAGUCGCCACACUCACCUGGAUGGUUCUGAUUGCUAUUUUCUUCUCUGCGGGAAGAGCGGCGAACAGCAGAGGAGCGGCGAACAGCAGAGGCUAACAGCAGGAGUUUGCCUGGGAGCUGUCCAAGAGGAGGUACGCUAAGUGCUGCAUUAGGGGGGCUGUGUUGGUGGGCCUUGAGUGGGCCUGACUGGUAUAUAAGGGCAGUCAGCAGCGAACCAGCUGAGCGGCGAACAGCAGAGGCUAACAGCAGGAGUUUGCCUGGGAGCUGUCCAAGAGGAGGUACGCUAAGUGCUGCAUUAGGGGGGCUGUGUUGGUGGGCCUCUUGACUAGUAGAC
rnacentral:lncRNA from 1 species